GUAUAGGGAGUUUCGUUAUUCUUUACAUUUUAAAAUGAGCCCUAAUCGGCGGUGCGCAUUCGCGGCUUCGCUCUCGCGUAGCAGAUAAGUUGACCGGCGCCGGCUUUGUUCGGGGUGGGUAGCCUUCGGAAACUGCUCAUUUCAUUUUUCAUCGCCAUCACCCAUUCCACACUCCGUCUCCUCCAUCCUUUUCGUUGAGCGAAGCCCUAGUUUCGUUAUCUAUAUUCCUUCCACACUCAAAGCGUUUGGGAGGACUCCGUCGAGGCUACGACGAUGUACUCGGUCCGCGACCGCCUCUACUUCGGUAACAUCAGUGCUGCCGCCAAGGUUCUUCAGAGCGGCAGCGCCGAGAUCACUCACGUUCUCUCCUUGCUGAGCUCCGCUUCUAUCUCCUUCUUCUCUGACUGGCGUGCAGAUGUUUCGAUUCGCACCCAGGAGGUGCGGAAGGUGUUCGCAGGAGAGGCCGGCCAAGGUUUGGCCAAGAAUUCCCUGUCGCCGGAGAAGCUCCUAUAUGUGCUAGAGCACGCUGGCCCGGGUCUCAAGCUCUUGAGAAUGGCGGUGCCGCUACGGGACACGGAAGAUGAGAACUUACUGGAUUAUUUGGACAUUUGUCUUGACUUUAUAGACCAGGGGCGGAAAGAUGGGGCUGUCUUGGUGCAUUGCUUCGCGGGAGUUUCAAGAAGUGCUGCUAUCAUCACGGCAUAUCUGAUGAGAUCAGAACAAAGAUCUCAGGAAGAUGCACUGGAUUCUCUACGGAAAUGUUGUGAGUUUGUUUGCCCAAAUGAUGGUUUUCUUGAACAGUUAAAACUAUUCGAGGAAAUGGGUUUUAAAGUAGAUACUGCUAGCCCCUUAUACAAGCGGUUUCGCUUAAAGGUAUUGGGCCAUUCUUAUAAGCUUGGAGAGAAGGUAGACAGCUCCAUAUUUGAAGAAGAUCCAGGAUCACUGCCAGAAUCCAGUUCUAGCUCUACUUCCGAGUCUGCUAAAGAAAAUCAGCGAAAAACUAUUUAUCGUUGUAAAAAGUGCAGAAGAAUUGUUGCAUUACAUGAAAAUGUUGUUAGUCACACGCCAGGAGAAGGUGAGACAUGUUUUGAAUGGCAUAAGAGGAAAGGUGGAAACCCAUUUAAGAGGUUUGAUGAGGUUGAGUGCUCCUCUAUUUUUAUUGAGCCCUUGAGGUGGAUGACAACAGUUGAAGAGGGUGCUCUGGAAGGAAAAUUAUCAUGCAUACACUGUGAAGCACGCUUGGGAUAUUUCAAUUGGUCAGGUAUUCAGUGCAGCUGCGGCAGUUGGAUUACUCCCGCAUUUCAACUACACAAGAGCAGGGUUGAUAUUUGCAGUCUGUAGUGCUGUACUGUACAAAAGCAACUUUUUGGAACUUUUAAAACAUCGGAAGUCUUCUCAACUGAGUUGUACUCCUGAAUAUAGUGUAUUCAGCAGAGAUUCUGAGCCAGUAUGAGAUUGGGAAGUGAUUCAGGUACGCAUCUUUGUUCUUGCAUUUGUAGAAGUACGUACUCUCGCCUGCGGUAGGCAUUGAUAUCUAUGUUUAGCAUGCAUAAGCAAGAAUGCUGUUUUCACUUAAAAAAUGUAGUUUUUUUUUUGUUUUCUAUAAUGUACAAUAUUAU